rnacentral:rRNA from 1 species
GACGAACGCUGGCGGCGUGCUUAACACAUGCAAGUCGAACGGAAAGGCCCUGCUUUUGUGGGGUGCUCGAGUGGCGAACGGGUGAGUAACACGUGAGUAACCUGCCCUUGACUUUGGGAUAACUUCAGGAAACUGGGGCUAAUACCGGAUAGGAGCUCCUGCUGCAUGGUGGGGGUUGGAAAGUUUCGGCGGUUGGGGAUGGACUCGCGGCUUAUCAGCUUGUUGGUGGGGUAGUGGCUUACCAAGGCUUUGACGGGUAGCCGGCCUGAGAAGGUGACCGGCGACAGUGGGACAUAGAUACGGGCCGGAGUGCGACGGGAGGGAGCAGUGGGGGGGGUGGCGGAGUGGGCGGGAGUCUGAUGCAGCAGCGCCGCGUGCGGGAUGACGGGCGUCGGGAGGGGAAAAGCUAUCGCCUGUAACGGAGCGAGAGUGAGGGUGAUGGGUAAAGGAACAACGACUAACUACGUG